rnacentral:rRNA from 1 species
UGGUGGAGUGAUUUGUCUGGUUAAUUCCGUUAACGAACGAGACCUCGACCUGCUAAAUAGUUCGGCGUAUCUUAGGAUACGUACGCGACUUCUUAGGGGGACUAUCAGGAGAGUAUCCGAUGGAAGUUCGAGGCAAUAACA